rnacentral:rRNA from 1 species
AUUGAACGCUGGCGGCAGGCCUAACACAUGCAAGUCGAACGAGUGGCGGACGGGUGAGUAAUGUCUGGGAAACUGCCCGAUGGAGGGGGAUAACUACUGGAAACGGUAGCUAAUACCGCAUACCAUCAGAUGUGCCCAGAUGGGAUUAGCUAGUAGGUGGGGUAACGGCUCACCUAGGCGACGAUCCCUAGCUGGUCUGAGAGGAUGACCAGCCACACUGGAACUGAGACACGGUCCAGACUCCUACGGGAGGCAGCAGUGGGGAAUAUUGCACAAUGGGCGCAAGCCUGAUGCAGCCAUGCCGCGUGUAUGAAGAAGGUCUUCGGGUUGUAAAGCACUUUCAGCAGGGAAGCGGUACCCGAAGAAGAAGCACCGGCUAACUCCGUGCCAGCAGCCGCGGUAAUAC